CAGCAGCCGCGGUAAUACGUAGGGUGCAAGCGUUAAUCGGAAUUACUGGGCGUAAAGCGUGCGCAGGCGGUUAUAUAAGACAGAUGUGAAAUCCCCGGGCUCAACCUGGGAACUGCAUUUGUAACUGUAUAGCUAGAGUACGGCAGAGGGGGAUGGAAUUCCGCGUGUAGCAGUGAAAUGCGUAGAUAUGCGGAGGAACACCGAUGGCGAAGGCAAUCCCCUGGGCCUGUACUGACGCUCAUGCACGAAAGCGUGGGGAGCAAACAGGAUUAGAUACCCCCGUAGUCCCUGUCUCUUAUAC
rnacentral:rRNA from 1 species